AGUAACGCGUGGGCAACCUGCCCCAUAGAGGGGGACAACAGCUGGAAACGGCUGCUAAUACCGCAUAACAAGGAGAGAGCGCAUGUUCUUUUCUUUCAAAGAUUUAUCGCUAUGGGAUGGACCCGCGUCUGAUUAGCUGGUUGGUGAGGUAACGGCUCACCAAGGCGACGAUCAGUAGCCGGCUUGAGAGAGUGGACGGCCACAUUGGGACUGAGACACGGCCCAGACUCCUACGGAAGGCAGCAG
rnacentral:rRNA from 1 species